CAGCAGCCGCCACGGUAAUACGAAGGGUGCAAGCGUUAAUCGGAAUUACUGGGCGUAAAGCGUGCGUAGGUGGUGGUUUAAGUCCGUUGUGAAAGCCCUGGGCUCAACCUGGGAAUUGCAGUGGAUACUGGGUCACUAGAGUGUGGUAGAGGAUAGUGGAAUUUCCGGUGUAGCAGUGAAAUGCGUAGAGAUCGGAAGGAACCUCUGUGGCGAAGGCGACUAUCUGGGCCAACACUGACACUGAGGCACGAAAGCGUGGGGAGCAAACAGGAUUAGAUACCCGAGUAGUCCCUGUCUCUUACAA
rnacentral:rRNA from 1 species